rnacentral:pre_miRNA from 7 species
UUUGCAGGAUCCGCUUAGCCUUAGAGACAUUUGGAUCCUAAUGAAAGAACCUAGUGGGAAAACCCCCACUCAAUUCUUGAUUCGGCACGGACCCAAGAAUCACAAACAGACAA